AUGAACGCUAGCGACAGGCUUAACACAUGCAAGUCGAGGGGCAGCGGGGUGUAGCAAUACACCGCCGGCGACCGGCGCACGGGUGAGUAACGCGUAUGCAACUUGCCUAUCAGAGGGGGAUAACCCGGCGAAAGUCGGACUAAUACCGCAUGAAGCAGGGGCCCCGCAUGGGGAUAUUUGCUAAAGAUUCAUCGCUGAUAGAUAGGCAUGCGUUCCAUUAGGCAGUUGGCGGGGUAACGGCCCACCAAACCGACGAUGGAUAGGGGUUCUGAGAGGAAGGUCCCCCACAUUGGUACUGAGACACGGACCAAACUCCUACGGGAGGCAGCAGUGAGGAAUAUUGGUCAAUGGGCGCGAGCCUGAACCAGCCAAGUCGCGUGAGGGAUGAAGGUUCUAUGGAUCGUAAACCUCUUUUAUAAGGGAAUAAAGUGCGGGACGUGUCCCGUUUUGUAUGUACCUUAUGAAUAAGGAUCGGCUAACUCCGUGCCAGCAGCCGCGGUAAUACGGAGGAUCCGAGCGUUAUCCGGAUUUAUUGGGUUUAAAGGGUGCGUAGGCGGCCUUUUAAGUCAGCGGUGAAAGUCUGUGGCUCAACCAUAGAAUUGCCGUUGAAACUGGGGGGCUUGAGUAUGUUUGAGGCAGGCGGAAUGCGUGGUGUAGCGGUGAAAUGCUUAGAUAUCACGCAGAACCCCGAUUGCGAAGGCAGCCUGCCAAGCCAUGACUGACGCUGAUGCACGAAAGCGUGGGGAUCAAACAGGAUUAGAUACCCUGGUAGUCCACGCAGUAAACGAUGAUCACUAGCUGUUUGCGAUACAGUGUAAGCGGCACAGCGAAAGCGUUAAGUGAUCCACCUGGGGAGUACGCCGGCAACGGUGAAACUCAAAGGAAUUGACGGGGGCCCGCACAAGCGGAGGAACAUGUGGUUUAAUUCGAUGAUACGCGAGGAACCUUACCCGGGUUUGAACGCAUUCGGACCGAGGUGGAAACACCUUUUCUAGCAAUAGCCGUUUGCGAGGUGCUGCAUGGUUGUCGUCAGCUCGUGCCGUGAGGUGUCGGCUUAAGUGCCAUAACGAGCGCAACCCUUGCCACUAGUUACUAACAGGUGAUGCUGAGGACUCUGGUGGGACUGCCAGCGUAAGCUGCGAGGAAGGCGGGGAUGACGUCAAAUCAGCACGGCCCUUACAUCCGGGGCGACACACGUGUUACAAUGGCGUGGACAAAGGGAGGCCACCUGGCGACAGGGAGCGAAUCCCCAAACCACGUCUCAGUUCGGAUCGGAGUCUGCAACCCGACUCCGUGAAGCUGGAUUCGCUAGUAAUCGCGCAUCAGCCAUGGCGCGGUGAAUACGUUCCCGGGCCUUGUACACACCGCCCGUCACACCAUGAGAGCCGGGGGGACCCGAAGUCGGUAGUCUAACCGUAAGGAGGACGCCGCCGAAGGUAAAACUGGUGAUUGGGGUG
rnacentral:rRNA from 1 species